rnacentral:rRNA from 1 species
AUUGAACGCUGGCGGCAGGCCUAACACAUGCAAGUCGAGCGGAUGAAGGGAGCUCGCUCCUGGAUUCAGCGGCGGACGGGUGAGUAAUGCCUAGGAAUCAGCCUGGUAGUGGGGGAUAACGUCCGGAAACGGGCGCUAAUACCGCAUACGUCCUGAGGGAGAAAGUGGGGGAUCUUCGGACCUCACGCUAUCAGAUGAGCCUAGGUCGGAUUAGCUAGUUGGUGGGGUAAAGGCCUACCAAGGCGACGAUCCGUAACUGGUCUGAGAGGAUGAUCAGUCACACUGGAACUGAGACACGGUCCAGACUCCUACGGGAGGCAGCAGUGGGGAAUAUUGGACAAUGGGCGAAAGCCUGAUCCAGCCAUGCCGCGUGUGUGAAGAAGGUCUUCGGAUUGUAAAGCACUUUAAGUUGGGAGGAAGGGCAGUAAGUUAAUACCUUGCUGUUUUGACGUUACCAACAGAAUAAGCACCGGCUAACUUCGUG